AGAUGUUCCCAGGACGCGAGCUAAGUCUGCCCGGCCGGCGCGCGCCGCUUCCGCUUUGGUGGGAAGGACCUCCCUUCCCCCUUAUAGAAACACUUUCUCCAGGCCGGGCCCGUCUUGGUAAACCUCAGCCGUGCCUGGGUAGAGGACGCCGGGCUGGGCCGAGCGGGGGUGGAAUGAGGGCGUCUAGAACAGAGAUAACUAAUGAUUCAGGGAUUGGAUGAGUCUCUAUGGUUUGUUUUGCCCUGAAGAGCAGAAGGCUUCUGUCCCAACUGGUGUUGCCAAAGCAACAUAUUAAUUCCAUGCCAUGAUCCUGGGUCAAGAUCUGCACAAUCUGAUUGGGCAUAUCACCUCGGAUGGCAAGGGAGUGGAAGUGGUCAAAAUCAUGGAGUCCAAGCUUUCGGAGACGCCUUGCAGCUGCCCGGUAACACUUCCAGGGUUGAGGCUCCACAAGGAGGUAGCGGCAGAGGGAGGAAAGGUGGGCCAGGAACUCCCACAGGCCAUGGUCUCCAUGAUUCAGAUGAAUCCACAUGGUUAUUGACAUGCAGAAGCCAAUGUCAAAAACUGAACGUCCAAAUUGGCUUAAGAAAGAGCUCAAGAGAACCUUCCGGGUCCUUUGAUUCAUGAAGUCCAGGGUGAUAAAGGUCAAGGCAUCAGGAAAAGGACAUUGUUUUUCGGCUCGCUUCACCAGGACUGGAUCUAUGUCGCAGCAGAGGAGACGGAAUUCUCUUGAGGCAUCUGAGCAGGUCUCCCCGUCAGGUAGGGAGAGGAAGUGUUUGUAUAGAGCCACACUCAGAUCCUAGAGGAAUCCAAAACAGCUUUGUCACUGCAGUUCUCAAUCAGUGAAUGGAAGAGAAAUCUGUAUCAUUCUCCCACUGAGAAUGCCACUUACCUCUGGCUGUAUAGGAUGUGAGGUUCCUAAACCAUAACCUAGAGGUUGUGCAAAAAUUUUCCAGAGUAGGCCCUCAGUGCCCUCCAGGGGUCACAUGCUGUAAUGCAUCAUCCCCAUAUUUUCCUGACACGACACUGAUGAUAGAUUGGGUUGUAUAGCUGAAAGUUACAGCCAAAUGGAUGCAGCAAAGGAGCCUACAGCAGUAUUUCCCAGCUUAAGUAAUGUGCUGAUAAACUCACUCUUUUUCUGGUUAUCUCAAGACCCCAGGGAGGAGGAAAGGGGUCCAGAGGCAUAACCAGUGUCUCUUACCAGGAAAGUGAGGAAUACAGCAAGCACAAUCUUAUAAAAACCUGCUUCUCAGACCCGCGGUGGGGGAAGUCUGGAUUCCAAAGUCCUCAUUCAGCCUUCACUACAGCUUCAAUUUUACUGUCUUAGGAUUCACCACCUCCUUCUGAGACAUUCUGCUUCUAUAACCAUCAUUGCUAAAAGUCACUGCUAACAACCUUCUAGACAAGUCCAAUGAUUUGUGAUUUUUACCACAUUAGCACCUUUUUUACUCUUAAGUCACCAGCUCCUUUCUCUAACUUUGAAUCCUUUGUUUUUGAGACAAAGUCUGGUUCUGUCGGCCAGGCUGGAGUGCAAUGGCGUGAUCUCAGCAACCUCUGCCUCCCAGGUUCAAGCGAUUCUCCUGCCUCAGCCUCCUAAGUAGCUGGGAUUACAGGCAUGCAUCACCACACUCGGCUAAUUUUUGUAUUUUUAGUAGAGACAGGGUUUCACCAUGUUGGCCAGGCUGGUCUUUAACUGACCUCAAGUGAUCCACCAGCCUCAGCCUCCCAAAGUGCUGGGACUAUAGGAAUGAGCCACUGCACCUGGCCUCUUUGAUUUCUAUAACCAUUAUAACUAAUUCAAAUUUGUGUUUUUCCACAUAGUAUUAUCAAGGCAUUUUUCUGUUUACUACUUUAUUUGCUUAGUGUAACAAGCAUUGAGGAAAAUAUUUAUUUAUGCCUUUUGUGCAGGUGAAGAAAAUGCACAAUGGAAAGCACCCAGAUGUCCAAUGAUAGUGGCAUGGACAAAUAAAUGUGGUAGAAUCAUGAAGAUAGAAUACUAAA